UACGUAGGGAGCAAGCGUUGUUCGGAUUUACUGGGCGUAAAGGGCGCGUAGGCGGCAACUCAAGUCAUCUGUGAAAUCUCCGGGCUUAACUCGGAACGGUCAGAUGAUACUGUUUUGCUAGAGUGCAGAAGGGGCAAUCGGAAUUCUUGGUGUAGCGGUGAAAUGCGUAGAUAUCAGGAAGAACACCCGUGGCGAAGGCGGCUCUCUGGGACGUGACUGACGCUGAGACGCGAAAGCGUGGGGAGCGAACAGG
rnacentral:rRNA from 1 species